AAUAGGUUUUUGUUUAUUUUCAUCCCUUUCCUCUCUCGCACUCCUGUAUUUUCACUCUCCCUCAACUACAGCUUUUGGUGCUCCCACUCUUCAACUCCCUUUCACUCUUCCUUCAUGGCCACUUUGCUUCUUCUCUUCUUUGUGUGGCAAUGGUUCAAUCCACGUUUGUGUCUUCUUCUUCCUCUUUGUGCCUUCUCGAGCCACCUUCGUUUCGCUACAAUCUCCAAUCGCAGUGUUCAAUCUUGAUUCCAUCAAAUCCACCUCUUUAGGCACCUCAUUUUUUAGAUUUUUGUUAAUUUCCAUGUGUUGAGGUUGUUUUGUGCUGUGUUUGUUUGUCCCUCUCAAUGUGGGCCUGAAUAUUGGUCCACAUCAACGACCACCAGCAACAUUCUUCGUUUGGGUUAAGGCUGUUUUGGAAGUUAAAAGAAACCCUCACACUUGCCGUUAUCAGCGCUCCCAUUUCUAUUUCUUCUCCCUCACUCACCCUUCUCUGCUUCCGGUGUACAGGAGAAGAAAAAAUGACAUACUUGAGUAUACAAAACCACGCUUAGCAAAAUGGACUGCAAACAUAAGGAGAUUAGAGAUGGUGUUGUGACUCUUGUGAGUCAUCCAAGGGAAUGUGAAUAUCAAAAAAGAUGAGGGGGCACUAUGAGGAUGGGUGUGCACUUUUUAGGAAAAGGUUUGGGGUGUGGAUUCUGCCACUAGGGCAAAGGAGCUUUCUUCUCCGACAUCUUUUUUUUUUUCUGAAUUUCCUUUCUAUGGUAUUUUUUUUUUCAAAUCUCAUAUUAUCAGUUCUGAUUCUGUAUUUUCUAUAAUUCUCUAGUAUAUAUCUAAGUUCCUAUCAAGUAUACUUUCACUAACAAAUAAAACAAUUCCCCUAAAAGACUGGGAGGAAUAUGUCUCUGAAAUUGUAACUGACAUUGAAAAAACAGACCCCAAAAAGGUUUAAUUUUGAUACAGUUUGCUCUGUGAUCUUUUGCAAUGAAUAAAAUGUUGUGUUGAACCUUUAAGUUGGUCAAGUUUAUCGAUUGCCCACCCAAUUGUGUAGUCAACUAAUUUCACGUUUUCGUUGCUUAUUUGGUUUUUUGAGUGGUUUAUGUGGUGUGCAAUGUAUCUUUCAUCUCUUCCUUCAUCUCAUGUGUUAGGUAGUUUCAAGUUGGAGGAAAGCUGUUAGAGCGAAUUAUUGAAGAAAUUGGAUGCAGAAUAAGUGCCUUAUCAAUAUUAUGUUUCAUAGCAAUAGCUUGAAUUGAUGUGGUAAUGUCUUAUUUCCGCAGUGGUCUCUAAUUCUUCUUUCCCUUGAUUGAACCCAAAACAUAGAAUGCAUCUUGGACAAAAGGCAUUUUUCACAUCGAAGGUAUUUUGAUCUGAUUGAUUGUGUGUGAUAGUCAAAUUAACAAUUAUAUUGUAGAGAAAAAUGCAAAUUAGCACAUGCAAGUUUGAGUCACGUGCUUCUUCGUCCUUGACCUUUUAAAAGGUGUAUCUUGUAUUAAAACUUGGCACACUAAUAAUGCUCGUAAAUAUUUGUCUUCUCGUGUUCACACACCACAACAAAAUGGUUUUGUUGAAACAAAGAAUCAAUACUUGGUUGAAACCACUUGUACCCUACUUCACCAUCAUGUUCCUAUUUGCUCCCUGGGUGAUGCACUUCUCGCAACAUGUUAUCCAAUUAAUCGCAUGUUUUCAUCUGUUUUUCACAAGUAGGUUCCCUACUCUAUCUUGUAUUUCAAUAAAAUCUCUACCGUGUUCUUCUCAUUGUCUUUGGUUGCACUAUAAAGUAAACUCUACCAAAUCUCUCAAAUGUAUUUUUUUGGGUUACUCACCACCUCUAAAAGGGUUAUCACACUGAUUUGGUACCUAACUAUGCUCUACAUAAUGCAAUUCUGGAGUGGCAGCAACAGUGAUUCAGUGAACCUUCAUUGGCCAUUACCCUUGAAUUUUAGUCUUCAGUGGCGUUGCUUUGGUUUUCAACCAGAUAAUGUUGUACACUUCUGGAAAUCAAAAUGCUUGGUGCAUCUGUUUUCUAGAGCUAAGAUUGUUGUGUUGUUUCUUUUCAAUGUGAUACCAGCAAGAUUAUUGCAUCAUGGUUUUCUCAUGAGAGGAUAAAAAUUCCUGAACUUAGAAAAUGAAUGGUUCAAAAAAGGAUAUGAAACAACUUUUAUAGAGGAAGAGGAUGUCAAUGUAGAUGAUGUUGCUGUUGCUUUCAAUGAUUCUAAGAUGGCUAGUGAAGAACCCAUAAUAAGAGAUAGUGUUAGCAACUUUAGUGAUGACGAUCAAUGACACAAUUUCAUGAACAUGGUGAACCAAGCAAUCAAAUCAAGAACAAGAGUGACAAGUACGUUGCCAUGUGUAGUCAAUAUGAUAAUGGAUGUUAUUGGAGGGCGAGAGUAUCGUUCAACAAAAUAUGCAAGAGACAGGGGAACCAGUUUGUUAGCAGCUUGACUAUCGGAAUGUGUUGGGUGGAAUGGACCGAAUGUUUUGCCUGUGUAUUACAUUCCCCACAUUGCAUCAAAUUUCAACAAACAGUUUAAAAAUGUUGACUUAAAAAAAGAAGUCAUCAAUAUGAGAUAUGAGAUAAGGAAACUCCAAUUUGAGGCAAAGUUGCUCGCAAUGCGAGCAAAGUUUUCACAAGCAGCAUAUUGAUUAGAUCAAAUAUGACUACCAACCUUGCCGAAUGUAUGACUUCUGUUUUGAAAGGAACUCGAGCAUUACCUAUUACUGCCUUAGUCAAUGAAACAUUUAAUAAAAUAAAUGAUUCAUUUGUUACUAAUGACAUGAAAAUGUUGAAUAUGAUAAAGGUAGGAUAUAGGUACUCUGAAUAUGUAUAUGUCAUGAUGCAAGAAAAUCAACACAUUGCUACCUCGCAUUAUGUUCGCAUGUAUGUUCGAAAAACAAGGGAGUUUAAAGUUCAAGAAAUUGCAAAUAUGCGGCUUGGUCAACGAGCAAUGACAUGCACUGUCAAAUUGAAUGAAUGGUCAUGUGAUUGUGAAUAAUUUCAAGCACUUCGACUACUUUGCUCGCAUGCAAUUGCAGCGUGUGUUUUUUGCAAUUUAAAUUAUGAUGACUUUGUUGACCCUGUAUACAAGUUGGAAAAUAUUUUCAAAGUUUAUCAACAUCACUUUCGAUCCCUUGGAAGUGAAGACACAUGAUCUCAAUAUUUAGGUCCACAUUUUAUGUCUGAUCAUUCGAAACGAUGACAGACAUCAGGCAGGUCGACCACUACUCGAAUACAUAAUGAGAUGAACGAACCAAUUUCAAGUAGACCUAAGAAAUGCUCAUUGUGUAAAAGUGGAGGACAUAAUCGUACUAA